UUGGCCGAUUUUCUUAAAAAAAAAAAAAAAGAAGUUAAUUAGCUUGCCUUCCUUUUAGAAAUGACCCAGGGAAUAAAUACAUGAAGUUAGCACUUUUUAUGCCUUAAAAAGAGGAAACUUUGCAAUUGCCCAAUUCUCAAUUCCAGCACAGUCUAUGGGUCCUGGGCAGUAAUCAGCGGUAUGUCUCAUGAUAGUGAUGUGUCAGAAAGACCUCAUUUCUACUAUUUUUGCUAGUGACUCUUUAUCACGCUGAUCACAAGUGCUGGUGCUAGAUAACUAGACCAGAAAACCCCUUAGAUGAAAAGAUAAGGCCCCAGAUGCUGUCAAACACCUCCCAAUUUGUUUGUUGGAGAUCUCGGGUCAAAUCUUGGUGAGAGGUAAAUAGUAUCACACAGUCUCAGGAAGAUAAAAAGUGUCCAAGCCUUGGUCCCAACUUCCAGAAGCUUCCAGUCUUACUGGAGAGACAUUCUGUGGAAACACCCAAGGAGCUAAUGCAAAGCAGAUUGAAUGGACCCCAUUUAAAAGAUCCAUAUGAAGAUGCUUCUUUAUCCGGGUUGUGCCUCUCUCAAUAAAGUCCAGGCUCCUAGCAGUCAUGGGAAUCUCAUUUUCACAAUC